rnacentral:rRNA from 1 species
GACGAACGCUGGCGGCGUGCUUAACACAUGCAAGUCGAACGGAAAGGCCCUGCUUUUGUGGGGUGCUCGAGUGGCGAACGGGUGAGUAACACGUGAGUAACCUGCCCUUGACUUUGGGAUAACUUCAGGAAACUGGGGCUAAUACCGGAUAGGAGCUCCUGCUGCAUGGUGGGGGUUGGAAAGUUUCGGCGGUUGGGGAUGGACUCGCGGCUUAUCAGCUUGUUGGUGGGGUAGUGGCUUACCAAGGCUUUGACGGGUAGCCGGCCUGAGAGGGUGACCGGCCACAUUGGGACUGAGAUACGGCCCAGACUCCUAGGGGAGGCAGCAGUGGGGAAUAUUGCAAAAUGGGCGGAAGCCUGAUGCAGCAACGCCGCGUGCGGGAUGACGGCCUUCGGGUUGUAAACCGCUUUCGCCUGUGACGAAGCGUGAGUGACGGUAAUGGGUAAAGAAGCACCGGCUAACUACGUG